ensembl:lncRNA
GUGCAAACUAACAGAGAGUACAAGUAAGACACUAAGGACAAUCACCCACGACAAACUCAAAGAAUAUGGCUGCCUAAAUAUGGUUCCCAAUCAGAGACAACGAUAAGCACCUGCCUCUGAUUGAGAACCACUCCAGACAGCCAUAGACCUUGCUAGACAACCCACUAAGCUACAAUCCCAAUACCACCACCAAAACCCCAAGACAAACACACCACAAUUACAAAAACCCCAUGCCACACCCUGGCCUGACCAAAUACAUAAAGAUAAACACAAAAUACUUUGACCAGGGCGUGACAGAAAGGCCACGGACAUGUGCAGUUGUCACAACGCCACACCCGCAUAGCCAUGUGAAAUCCAUAGAUUAGGGCCUAAAAAAAGUUACUUAUAUGAACUGUAACUCAGUAAAAUCGUUGCAUGAGGUGUUUAUAUUUUUGUUCAGUAUAUCAUCGCCCACCAGAUGUAUACCAAAACAAGUGGUUGAGCUGUUUUUUGUUUUAAAAUUGUACAUGUUGUCCCUGAAGAUUUUGUUGGGUGGUUUUAUAGACUACCCGUAAAACUUUAAUAGCCCGGGCAUUUAUUUACUUCAAUCACUGAACACAACCGCCGCGUAUUAGAGACAGGCAUCUAAUUGAGCCUUUUAUUUACUUUACACCCCCCCCAAAUAUAAUUUAGAGCACAGUAAAAACAUACAAAAUGGACUCCAGCCAUUAUCACCUUGCAGUAGCUUCAUUCACCUCAGUCAAUAUGGGAUUUAACAUUCGACAACACGUCACACAAUAAUUAGAUACUAUGAACUCGCUCAGCACCGGGAUUAAAACUAGUUUAGAUUCAUGUCACAUCAAACAGCAGUUACUUAACCAAAGUCAUCUACUAAAACACUUCGGCGGGGACUGCAGCAAGGAAAAUUGGUGGUGUGACGUCAUCGCAGCAAUGGCAAAAUGUCACAUAGCGACAAAUCAAAGCACCAAUAGCUGAUCUCAAUGAAAAAUAGUUGUCGAACCCUACUCUCCAUAAAGCAAGCCAGCCAGCCAUAGUUGGUUGUUUAGUAACUAUGGGGCAAAACCGACAGGGUUGGCCUAAAUUGUCGAAAAUAUGUGAACUUUAUGUUGUCUCCAAUGUUUAUUGAAAACAAAUACGCUUGCACAAUGAGCACUUGUCUCAUAUACAUUGUUAGUUGUUGGUUUUAUUUAUUUAACUAGGAAAGUCAGUUAAAAACAAAUUCUUAUUUACAAUGACGGCCUACCCUGGCCAAACUCUAACCCAGACGACGCUGGGCCAUUUGUGCACCGCCCCAUGGGACUCCCAAUCGAACCAGGGUGUGUAGUGACCUCUCUAGCAUUGAGAUGCAGUGCCUUAGACUACUGUGCCACAUGGGAGCGAUGGUUACGUAGCUAGCGAAAUUUUGCAAUAUUAUGGUAUCAAGAACGAGAUAAAACUGGCAGAAAUGAGCAAGCUAUGAUUCCCCACACGGAGUUCAUUGAUGCUAGCAAUCUGGCCAUCCAGAAACACAAAAUAAGGACUUCUGCCCAUUGAACCUCCGCAUCGUUGGUGAUGUAGUCAACUAACCCAUCUAGCUGUACAAACAGCCUUGCCUCAUGUUUCUAGGUGUCCACAUGGUCCUAAAGUCACCUUACAAUACCUCUAAACUGUAUUAGCCUUUUAAAUCGGGAUUGGAAUGAUUAGAGUAGCCCAUUUUAAAUGAUUAAACUAGGGUAUGUCGACUAUUAAAAGGGACAGUUAGGCGGUUAUUUGAGACAGCGUUUCAUUUCAGUUUUACCGGUACGCUAAUAACAUGUACUAAUAUCCAAUGGACAAACUAAUAUGGUGGAUGAUGAUGAUGAUAAUAAUAGCUCUCUACUUUACCCCGACGGUCGUUUUUGAUUUACGACCCAAAGCUUCUGUUACGGUGGCUGGGUGCUUGUAUUUGAUGUGGUUUAACAUGCUGCCGUUGUUGUAUCGGAGUAUUGCUUUGCAAAGCCGACAUAUACACAUAUCAAUGCCUUUUCUGGUGAAAUACAUCUAAGAUGUGCUACUUUGAGCACGUCACAUCGCUUCCGUUUUAUGUUGUGACAGCUUUUAUCUAGUCAAAACCUUUCCUUUAGAUCUCUGCUGCACUAGCCAAAUUAGCAAGUUAAAAAACACUAUUUAGAGUGCGGUUUUAACCGAAGGUCAAAUCGGUAAGAAUAACCGGUUAGAUAGCAAAAUAUAUACUUUUUCCCGGCUGGCAUUACAAGCGGAUAUCCGCAAAUCCAUGUAACGGAAAUGUGCGCAUGAUUAUUGAAUCGAUAGAUUAGUCAUGAAUUAAUAUAAUAUAACUCUAAGAACUUCAUUGGUCGUCUCAGAUACAGCUCUUAACAUCAGAAAAUGUAUAGCUAUUUAGUGCCGACUCUUAUACCUGCGGUCUCUUGGGCGCUCCAAUAUCUAUAGCUCCAUUGCUUUUGUCUGGUUACCAGCACAGCGUCAGAAAAGACGGAUGUCUCAAAUUUGUUCUGGUAACGUUAGUCCUUUUCGGAGGUCCAGUUUACCUGAUGCCGAGACUCUAAAUGCCUUUUCAUGCCACUGGUGCUACCUCCUUUACAUCUGAUAUUCCGGUCGCAGUGUUUACAUUUUGCCAGUGCCGCUUCUAUUCUGUCGAAGCUGUGCCACACAGCUGAACCAAAGCUGGGUGAACUUGGUGUAGACAUUGUGAAUGAAGAGAACAAAUAAACAACCAAACCACCAGAGUAACCUACGGGUUACCUUCACCAAAAGAGCUGCGUGAAUGUGAGCGCAGAUACUGUAUAUAAUGACGACAUGGUUUGGUCUCCGCCCUAACAAUGGAAGUAGUUGUCACAAAGGCGGGAAUGUAGUCGGUUUAUCGCUGUAUUCCCGCGGACAGAUUUUGACGGGAAUGAACCCUCUCGCUUCCUCUCUGGUGUGAGUGACCAAAGAUGUUCUAUUAUUUCGACAAGAUAGUCGAGUGACCACUAACAAUGGAAAUACAUAUCCUCAAAUAUGGAAUACAGGCGAGAUCAAGUGGUACCAUUCUAGCAAAUGAGAGGGCAGAUCCGCGUGUGAACAAGAUGCACAACUCCGAUAGUUUCUCUCCAAAUUGCCACGUGCGUCCACUUAUCAGUGCAUUCGUAACAACUUAACCAUUACUAAACUUCGUUUCGAUCAAAUACGCCUCAAGUAGCAAGCAACUUUCGUUGACCAAAAUCGACACUCACUGACCUCCAUACAAAAAUCCCACUUGUGGUCUUAUUUUCGUGGACACAUUUUGUGCGGCGUAAACCCUUUCACUACGCUUCUUCCAAUCGAAAGACCAAACGUCGCCUAUUUACCGUAUUAACUGCACUUGGGAUCAAAACUAAUGACGCAUUCUGAAUGUAUGGCAACCUCUGAGUAAUUACGGUAGGCCUACAAGCGGAGCUAGAAGAGAAACUUGUCUUUGACCAGUCCAGAUAUCACACUUUUUUUAUGAAUUUGCCUAAGAAUUAAAUAAAACACUUACAUGACUCUUACCUCUAACGGUCGCCAUCAGCUCUCGCUGCGUUUUGAUAUGUCUUAGCGACAGAUCCUUUCUAAAUGUCUCAACGUGGAUGUUGUGCUACCGCUCGUCCGCUUCAGAACAGCCGCACACAGCUUGCAUGUCACACUUUCGGAAGAUAUUUCAUUGAAAUAUCUCCACGUGUGACUUCUAUAUUUUUUACGGUCUCUGCUUCUACAUUCCAUAUCUCACAACUGCUGGUUCUUUGUGUAAUGGAAGGAUCGUUUGAGCUAUCAACUGCAGUCUUUUGGUGGCCGUCUGGAUCUGCGACAUUUCAUUGCGCAUGUGCUGGGAUUAAAGCUGUCUAGCCUACUCUGGAAGUGCAGUUUUGUUGGAUGGAGGCACCCAUAGCUGUAUGGAUCUAUUCAAAUCUGCUAUAGCUGAUCCCCCUUGAUCAGGACCCCUGUCAGCCCAGUGUGAGAGGCCUGACCUAUGCAUCCCAGGACCCCUGUCAGCCCAGUGUGAGAGGCCUGACCUAUGCAUCCCAGGACCCCUGUCAGCCCAGUGUGAGAGGCCUGACCUAUGCAUCCCAGGACCCCUGUCGGCCCAGUGUGAGAGGCCUGACCUAUGCAUCCCAGGACCCCUGUCGGCCCAGUGUGAGAGGCCUGACCUAUGCAUCCCAGGACCCCUGUCGGCCCAGUGUGAGAGGCCUGACAAGGAGGCGGGCAUAGCUAUUUGUCUCCCACGUCAAUCUUGAGGGUGACUGAAGCCUGCUUGAUUGAAGUGGGGUAUGCGGGUCUCCAUCAAUCUCUGUAGGUGGUUGAGUUUUCUAAAGUCAAAGUAAAUCACGUUUACGUGAUGACAUCACACUUUGUUACUUUGUAUAGUUUCUUGAAGCAUUCGGACAGGAGAGCAGUGCUACAAAUUGUAUGAGUCAAAGGGUCCUGCACACUGUUGGGUGGCCGGGUGCCCAUAUAAGGCAUAUGGCUCUAAUAUAUUUCUUAAAUGUCAAAUGAUGUCUCAUUAUUUCUCACCAUCAUUUAUGUUGAUCAAUAUUUCGGUUGUGCUGGCCUAAUUUGUAAAUGAUCAAAUAAAUGUCUGAUCAAUACAUACAAUUCUGAAUAUAUUGCUAUUUAUAAUGCUAAUGAAGAGGCACCAAUAAAUUGUCCAGUACACUCAUUAUAUGCUGUUUUCAUAUACAUACCUUUAUGUCUACACUUCUAAGGUGUCUCAGGCUUUACUAAUUAUUGUGAAGAAAUGUAUUCUGUAAUUAGUUACAAAACAAUAGUCUGACUAAACUUCAUAUGGAGAAAAGGAAUGCUGUAUCCUAUUUUGGAAACGUACGACUUUGUUAUUGGACUAAUAUAUGCAUAAACACAGUGCAUCUGUACACCAAGAAUGAUAUGUAAAUGUGACACAUGUCAAGAACACGAGCCAGUUCUCUUGGCCAUGAGAGCAUUUUGCAGAGAAAAUGGGUUGUGAAUUACAAUUUAGGUAAGGAUUGUUUACCUUGUUACCAGGCGACGACCACAAGGG